rnacentral:rRNA from 1 species
AAUGAACGCUGGCGGCGUGCCUAACACAUGCAAGUCGCACGAGAACACCCUGCUUCGGCGGGGUAAGUAAAGUGGCGCACGGGUGAGUAACGCGUGGGCAACCUGCCUCCGGAUCGGGGAUAACACUGCGAAAGCGGUGCUAAUACCGGAUGAUGUCAUAUUGUCUUCGGAUUUUAUGACCAAAGACGGCCUCUGCGUGCAAGCCGUUGUCUGGAGAGGGGCCCGCGUACCAUUAGCCUGCCGGUGGGGUAACGGCCCACCGGGGCGACGAUGGUUAGCCGGUCUGAGAGGAUGACCGGUCACACCGGAACUGACACACGGUCCGGACUCCUACGGGAGGCAGCAGUGGGGAAUCUUAGACAAUGGGGCAACCCUGAUCUAGCCAUGCCGCGUGAGUGACGAAGGCCCUAGGGUCGUAAAUUUCGCCA